ACCGUCCAUACACCUGUUGGAUGACGACCUAUAGAUGGAUCUGUAUUUCCGCUCAGAAAUUUUUUUCAUAUCUUCAACGCUGCUAAGAAAAUGCACUCGAGACGUAGUCACGGCAUGAUUUCGAAAGAAGAAAAAGCCUUUAGUGACGCCUGGCUAUGGCUGAGUAUGACAAUUACCUUAGACUUAUGUACGUAUCUCCGCAUGCAGGGUAAGGACGUAAACUUCCGUUUGAAAAAUUAUCGACACCUUCUCAUUGACACCCAAAUGCUAGCUCUAGGGUUUUCAAGCAAUCUGUGUACACUAGUGUACUGUACUAAACUAGACACACCUAGUGACACACUUCAAUAUAAGCUAUUUCCACAAUAAACGUUUAGGUUAGAGAACGAUUAGAAAACGACUCGAAUUCUAAUAAGUUUCUCUAAGGUAGCAGGUUAGAAGACGAUUAGAGAAACUGUCCAGAAUUAUAGCAUUCUCUACAAAAAUGGGAUCUAGUUCUCAAUAUCGAGAAAGAGGUCCAAUGUUUUUCUAAUCAUUCUCUAAUCGAAUUCUAACAUAGUUCUCUAACCUGAUUUUCAAUUCGAGAACUAUAUAUGUAUGUAUAUUAGAAUUCUAAUGUAAAAUCAAAAUAUUUCCCUAACGUUAGAGACUGCGUUCGCUGGUUUACCUCAGAACUGGCAGUUAGUUAAUUUUUACAACUGACUUUAAAAGGCUUAAAUUUUUUGUUCUCAAAAUACCUUUUUAUGGAUGUGGAUGCAUACAUUUCAUGGAAGCAGAUACAAAUGGUGUAAGUCCGGUAGACUUUAGUUAACCCUCUAAAAUACAUAAAUUUGUUUUUCCUUUCGUUUUCCAUCUAUUUUAUUGUUGUGUUGUUUGGUGAUUGCACCGUUAUGUAGGAUUCGGAGACGUCUGGCGACUACAAAAAUGCCUUAACUGCACUGCUGGGCGGAGCUUAAUCGGUGUUGAAAUUUCCA